UCGUAACAAGGUUUCCGUAGGUGAACCUGCGGAAGGAUCAUUACCGAGUGAGGGCCCUUUGGGUCCAACCUCCCACCCGUGUUUAUUUUACCUUGUUGCUUCGGCGGGCCCGCCUUUACUGGCCGCCGGGGGGCUCACGCCCCCGGGCCCGCGCCCGCCGAAGACACCCUCGAACUCUGUCUGAAGAUUGAAGUCUGAGUGAAAAUAUAAAUUAUUUAAAACUUUCAACAACGGAUCUCUUGGUUCCGGCAUCGAUGAAGAACGCAGCGAAAUGCGAUACGUAAUGUGAAUUGCAAAUUCAGUGAAUCAUCGAGUCUUUGAACGCACAUUGCGCCCCCUGGUAUUCCGGGGGGCAUGCCUGUCCGAGCGUCAUUGCUGCCCUCAAGCCCGGCUUGUGUGUUGGGCCCCGUCCUCCGAUUCCGGGGGACGGGCCCGAAAGGCAGCGGCGGCACCGCGUCCGGUCCUCGAGCGUAUGGGGCUUUGUCACCCGCUCUGUAGGCCCGGCCGGCGCUUGCCGAUCAACCCAAAUUUUUAUCCAGGUUGACCUCGGAUCA
rnacentral:misc_RNA from 1 species